AUGGGGCCGGUUGAUAUCUUGAAAUUUCUUAAACGGCUAGAUUGUUUCCCUAAUGCAACUAUUGCAUAUAGAAUUUUGUUAACUAUUCCAGUAACCGUCGCAUCAGCUGAGAGAAGUUUCUCCAAAUUGAAAUUAUUGAAGUCCUAUCUACGUUCAACAAUGACACAAGAAAGGCUCAGUGGGUUGGCUACUAUAGCAAUUGAAAAUGAUAUACUGGAGGGGGUUGCUUAUGAAGAUCUAAUUGAAGAUUUUGUAUCAAGAAAUGCUCAAAGGAUGGCACGCUUUGGCUAA
rnacentral:rRNA from 1 species